AGACCCGUAGCUUAACUGGCAAAGCCAUCUAUCGUUGAACUCCACUUAACCGAAUGCAGGUUCGAAUCCUGCCGGGUCUA